rnacentral:rRNA from 1 species
GAGUUUGAUCCUGGCUCAGAAUGAACGUUGGCGGCGUGGAUUAGGCAUGCAAGUCGUGCGAGAAGCCUUCCUUCGGGGAGGUGGACAGCGGCGAAAGGGAGAGUAACGCGUGGAUACCUACCUUUGGGUUCGGAAUAGCGGCGGGAAACUGCCGGUAAUGCCGGAUAAUAUCUCCGGAUCAAAGCUUCGUGCCAGCAGCCGCGGUAACACGAACCGUACAAACGUUAUUCGGAAUCACUGGGCUUAAAGGGUGCGCAGGCGGCUCGGUAAGUUGGGUGUGAAAUCCCACGGCUCAACCGUGGAACUGCGCCCAAUACUGCCGAGCUUGAGGGAGACAGAGGUGAGCGGAACUGAUGGUGGAGCGGUGAAAUGCGUUGAUAUCAUUAGGAACACCGGUGGCGAAGGCGGCUCACUGGGUCUCUUCUGACGCUCAGGCACGAAAGCUAGGGUAGCGAACGGGAUUAGAUACCCUGGUAGUC